GUCUGCGCAUCCCCCACCUCCACUCGUAACGGAACCCCCACGAGCACCGCGUCGAUCUCGCCGGGCGUUUUGGGUGGUUGGCGGCGUGCGCUAGCCACUUCCACGCGUAUAAGGAGUCCGCCCCGGCCGAAACGCCUCGCGACAACAAUCCCCUAGCCGCUAACCGACUCGACACCAUUCAAUCUUGCGUCGUGGGAGAGUGCCGCUCCACCAUCCUCGUCCUUGGCAGUGACUCGAUGCUGGUGUUGGGCGCAGGAGAUUCGCCGCGGGGGUGCGCUCGCAGUUGUGUCAACCAGGGAGAUCGGGGUUCACCAGAACAGCAGCAAUUCCUUGUCGUUGCUCAUUCGUGGCCGCAAAUCCGCGUAGUGCGUGAACAACCUCAACCAACGCCUAAUCUCCAGAGAAGAACAUGUGGUCUAGGAGGAGCUGUACAAUGAGGAGUAUGAGUUGCUCUAGGUGGCGUCUCCCAGCCAGCUUUGUGACGCCAAGGAAUAAUACUUAGUUCGCUUAUUAUUAUCAUUUAUUUUUGUAAGACUUCCGCUAUGUAAUAAUGACAUUUAUGUUAUUUGUGACAUUUAUCUCUA